AAGCGGGGGUGGGUGACUGCUUUCAAAUUUUGAAAGAGGAAAGUCCGGACUCCUUAAGGCAGCAUAAAGAGAGAAAUCUCUUCCACCUUUUAGGUGAGGACUAGUGGAACAGAAAGUAUGUCCAGAGUAAGUUUCUUACUGCUGGAGUGAAAUCAGCUAAACUCUAUGUGGAGCAAGAUCAAAUAAGAAAGUGCAUCGCCUAUGCUUGACUUUCGGGUUGAUCGCAAAGAUGAAUAGUCACCAAGGUUUUUUAUAAACUGAACAGAAUCCGGCUUAUAACCCCUGCUCUUUU
rnacentral:RNase_P_RNA from 1 species